rnacentral:rRNA from 1 species
AGAGUUGUAUCCUGGCUCAGGAUGAACGCUGGCGGCGUGCUUAACACAUGCAAGUCGAACGAACCUUCGGGUUAGUGGCGGACGGGUGAGUAACGCGUGAGAAUCUGCCCUCAGGAGGGGGAUAACGGUUGGAAACGACCGCUAAUACCCCAUAUGCCGCGAGGUGAAAUGAAUUUCGCCUGAGGAUGAGCUCGCGUCUGAUUAGUUAGUUGGUGGGGUAAAGGCCUACCAAGACAUCGAUCAGUAGCUGGUCUGAGAGGAUGAUCAGCCACACUGGGACUGAGACACGGCCCAGACUCCUACGGGAGGCAGCAGUGGGGAAUUUUCCGCAAUGGGCGAAAGCCUGACGGAGCAACGCCGCGUGAGGGAUGAAGGCCUCUGGGCUGUAAACCUCUUUUAUCAAGGAAGAAGAUCUGACGGUACUUGAUGAAUAAGCCACGGCUAAUUCCGUGCCAGCAGCCGCGGUAAUACGGGAGUGGCAAGCGUUAUCCGGAAUUAUUGGGCGUAAAGCGUCCGCAGGCGGUCUGUCAAGUCUGCUGUUAAAGCGUGGA